rnacentral:snRNA from 1 species
UUAAUUCCCUGGCAGGGGAGAUACCAUCAUCACGAAGGUGGUUUUCCCAGGGCGAGGCUUAUCCAUUGCACUCCGGAUGUGCUGGCCCCUGUGAUUUUCCCAAAUGUGGGAAACUUGACUGCAUAAUUUGUGGUCAUGGGGGACUGUGUUCCUGCUCUCCCCUG